CUCAGGACGAACGCUGGCGGCGUGCUUAACACAUGCAAGUCGAGCGGUAAGGCUCCUUCGGGAGUACACGAGCGGCGAACGGGUGAGUAACACGUGAGCAAUCUGCCCUUCACUUUGGGAUAACCACCGGAAACGGUGGCUAAUACCGAAUAUGACCACUUCACGCAUGAGUUGGUGGUGGAAAGUUCCGGCGGUGGAGGAUGAGCUCGCGGCCUAUCAGCUUGUUGGUGAGGUAAUGGCUCACCAAGGCUUCGACGGGUAGCCGGCCUGAGAGGGUGACCGGCCACACUGGGACUGAGACACGGCCCAGACUCCUACGGGAGGCAGCAGUAUCCAUAUGACUAG
rnacentral:rRNA from 1 species